rnacentral:rRNA from 1 species
AGUCGAGUGCGCGUGCCGUAGCAAUACGGUAUGGCGCACGGCGCACGGGUGCGUAACACGUGGGCAAUCUGCCCUUCGAUGGGGAAUAACUCCGGGAAACCGAAGCUAAUUCCGCAUAACAUUCCCUGGACUCCGGUUUGGGGAUUCAAAGCAGCAAUGCGUCGAAGGAGGAGCCCGCGCCCGAUUAGCUAGUUGGUAGGGUAACGGCCUACCAAGGCUUUGAUCGGUAGCUGGUCUGAGAGGAUGGCCAGCCACACUGGAACUGAGACACGGUCCAGACUCCUACGGGAGGCAGCAGUGGGGAAUCUUGCGCAAUGGGCGAAAGCCUGACGCAGCGACGCCGCGUGGGGGAUGAAGCUUCUCGGAGUGUAAACCCCUUUCGACUGGGACGAAUGCCUCGCAAGAGGAGUGACGGUACCAGUAGAAGAAGCCCCGGCUAACUACGUGCCAGCAGCCGCGGUAAGACGUAGGGGGCCAGCGUUGUUCGGAAUUACUGGGUGUAAAGGGUUCGUAGGCGGUGUGGCAAGUCGGGAGUGAAAUUUCUGGGCUUAACCCAGAACCUGCUUCCGAAACUGCUGUGCUCGAGUGUGGGAGAGGCGCGUGGAAUUUCAGGUGUAGCGGUGAAAUGCGUAGAUAUCUGCAGGAACACCCGUGGCGAAAGCGGCGCGCUGGACCACCACUGACGCUGAGGAACGAAAGCUAGGGGAGCAAACAGGAUUAGAUACCCUGGUAGUCCUAGCCCUAAACGAUCAGGACUUGGGGUGCCACCCGUUCGGGUGUCGUCCCGGAGCUAACGCGUUAAGUCCUGCACCUGGGGAGUACGGUCGCAAGACUGAAACU